UGAACACGACCCAGAGUAAUUUAUUGUCUGUUGGAUAAUGAAUUUAUUUAUUACUUAGGAAGCCGGUUUUUUCGUAUACCGAUAAUAAAAUUUAUGUAAUGCAAGAGAAGAAUUCAGGAGAUUCAAAAUUAGUAUAAAUAGCAGACGCUCGACGGAUAACGCACAAUGUAUUUAUUCGUCAAAAAGGUAACGUAUCCUAGAAAGAUUUUAAAAAAAAGUUAGAAAGUGACGUAUUAUUUCAAUCGUUGUAACUGUAAAAAGUUACUAUUAUUAGCAACGAAUUCUUAAUAAAGUUGCUUUUUUCUCUUUGGUAAUUGUAGCGAUAACGUAGUUUGGAAAUUAGUAAGGUCCUGACGCAGCACAAUGGCGGCAUUCCUUCAUGUUUUCUUAAUGAUCGUUCUGAUAACCAUCAAUGCAAUUAUGCCAGGGACAGCGAUAUUUUCGGACAGCUUUGAGGAACCACUAACGUUCAGCAACUCCUACUUUCCUAUAUCUUACACUAAUUGUCAAUGUCCACCUCCGAUAUAUAUAUAUGUAUCAUGUCCAACUACACCAACUCGAGUGUCACCUGUAGCAGUGCCUACACCAGCUAUUAUAAAUGUUCGUACAAAAAGUAAUGAGGAAUGUCCAGAUCGACAAAGGAAAGAUCCACACGGAAUAUGUCGCGUUGACCAAGGACGUUAAAAUCACAGAAUAUGUGAUUUGCAUGUAAGCAGGUCCAAAAGUACCAAUAACUUUCAUGAUACUAUCACUCUUUUUCAAAUGAACUACUGCAGAGAUAAUGAGAUAACUUAAGAAAUAAUAUGUAGUAACUGUCACAGAUGUAUGGAUAAAUAAGCAUAAUUAAUGUUGAUUUUUGUGUAAAUCCUUUGUAUUAUCUUAGAAUAACUAAACCACGACUUUAACACAGUGCAAUAAAGGCACUCUCCAUAGUUUCUUAAUAAUUAUGUCAAUAACAAUCAUUGUGCUCAAUACCAAUGGAAAUAUUCCCAAGCGUUUACCGUCAGCUGUACAAACUACGCCGAAUUUUAUUAAAAAUAGUAUUAAUAAUAUUAUUAUUAGUCAUUUAAUAUAAUUAAUAUUAUAUUAUAUUAUAUUAUAUUAUAUCAUAUUAUAUCAUCAUAUAAUAUUACAUUAUAUCACAAAUAAAGAAAAGUAUUGGCGCGUGUGAAUUUUCAAGUGGCAUAAUGAAAGCAUUCCAUUGUGUCUUCUUAAUAUUUGCGCUAACAGUAAUGAAUAUAUUCAUACUGGCAACAUCUGAACGCAUCCAAAUAGAGAUAACUAUAUCAUUUACAUCUGACUCCAAUGAAACAUAUUGAAUAAAUGCAAAUGCUGGUAUAAAUCAUAUUCAUAUCAGCAUCUACAUUUUGCGAAUAUGUUUCAUUGGAGUCAGAUGUAAACGAUGUAGUUAUCUCUAUUUGGAUGCGUUCAGAUGUUGUCAGUGUGAACAUAUUUAUUACUAUAAGCGCAUUAGAUGGUACUCACGUCAUAAACACACUUCUUAAGCACAAUAUUAAUUGCCCGAAAAACCAAUGAAAAGAUCAAGGUAAUAUGUGCUAAAAAGAUUCAAACAAAGUCGAAAAGUGAGACAUUAGUUACGUUAUUAUCACAUUACGCGAUAAUCUUUUUUGUAAUAACUUACUAAGAGAAAUAUUUUUUCCCUCUUGAGUUAGUAAUUGUAAAGGUAAUUAUGUUUCUAUGGAUAACAAAAACGAAUGUAAUUGUUACUUUUGUCAUUACUAUACGUAUGUAAAAUAUAUAUGCAUAGGUUCAGCGAUAGUAAAUC